AUGACCAAGUUUUUUUUUUUUUUUUUCUUUUUAUAUACAUUUUUUUUAUUUCAUUUUGUUAUGUUAUGGGGCCUAGAUUGACUAGUGGAUGAGAUAUAUGUGGAUGAGGAUGUGUGUGACAUGUAUAUGUGUGUUUGUAUAGAGAGAGAGAAUGAAAGACAAACCAAACCCUCUCAUUCUUCCACUCCACCGACACUUUCUCUUCUCUCUCCCAUUCUUUUCUUGUUCAUUUUACUUCAACCAUUUCACCUCCAACCUUUGAGAUUUUGAGCUUGCAUAGAAGGGAAGUUGACGGGGACUACGAGAGGAACAAAACCCCUCAAUCAAUUUCAGAUUUGGAGCACAUUUUUCCUUUGGAGUAGCUAAGGUUUGCUCCUAGCUUGAGGAAAGGGCAUUGCACUAGAGGAGGUUCCUCAUCCCUAGCUUGAUUGGGAUAUUGACAACAUUUUUGAGCUACUUGUGAUAAUUGUAACAUGCAUUGUGUAGCUUACUUUUAGACUUGUAUUGUAACUCAUGGUGUAUUUGGAUAAUGUAUUUGAUGAUACAUGUUUGUAAUAUUCUGUUGGAAGGGGAAAAUGACUUAGGAACUCACACAUCCAUCUUUGGAGUUCUUAUGGAAUUUCCUCUCUUAUCUCAAUUCAUGUAAUCCCAUAACAUUAUUUCUCACCUUAUGGUUUUAAUGAGGCCAUGGAGGCCAUAAUUUCUACUUGGA